rnacentral:rRNA from 1 species
CCUACGGGAGACAGCAGUGAGGAAUAUUGGUCAAUGGGCGAAAUCCUGAACCAGCCAAGCCGCGUGAGGGAAGACGGCCCUAUGGGUUGUAAACCUCUUUUGUCGGAGAACAAAACCCGGGACGAGUCCCGGACUGCGUGUAUCCGAAGAAAAAGCAUCGGCUAACUCCGUGCCAACAGCCGCGGUAAUACGGAGGAUUCGAGCGUUAUCCGGAUUUAUUGGGUUUAAAGGGUGCGUAGGCGGUCUGUUAAGUCAGGGGUAAAAUUGCGGGGCUCCACCCCGGCGAGCCGUUGAAACUGGCAGCCUUGAGUUGGCGAGCAGUACGCGGAAUGCGUGGUGUAGCGGUGAAAUGCAUAGAUAUCGCGCAGAACUCCGAUUGCGAAGGCAGCGUACCGGCGCCCGACUGACGUUGAGGCACGAAAGCGUGGGGAGCGAACAGGAUUAGAUACCCUGGUAGUC